UACUACAAUUUAGGGCACGGAAAAAAAAAGGAAUGAGGAAAAGGCACCCCAUCUCCUUGACUUUUCUUCAGGACCCUGUUUAAAAAUAGCCAUUCCUUUCCACAGGCAAUCUUUAAAGGCAGCAAGGUGUGACGCCCCAGACUGGCAGCUUGGCAAGAAAACAGCCCGUAGAUACCAACGCACAGGAAUCUGGAGUGCUUACUUUGACAGCCAGUCAGCGUUUGAAACAAAAGAAAUGAAACAAUUAAAUUUAUUUAUAUAUUCUACAGACAUAUAUGCACCAGACCAGCAGAAAUAAAAAAGUAAUUACUACUCACUUGAUGGCGUGCACUAAGGAAAGCAGAAAAAACAUAUAUAUAGAAAGCGUACACACAGCAGUAUUCGGUCUCUUCUGAUUAAACUUUUCACCUCGUAGAAGACAUUUAAAUUAAGAGAGCUGCUCGCAGCAAAACGGAUUGUUGUUGGGUUGUUUGCGGUAGAGGUGAUUAGGUUUAGUUUUCCCCUGUAUGAGCUUUGGGCUAGCUAUAAGGAGAAGUAUUUAGUGGGUCUGCUGUAUGUUACUAUAGAACAUGGAAACACAUAGCCGUAUGCAAAGGUGAUAUUUAGCAGUAGGCACUUCAUUCAUUAAAAAUGUAUUAAAUAAAAACAACAGACAAAAUGA